CGGGGUUGAUUUUGGAAGUUUUCGGAUGGAAGUGAGUCAACUUAGUGGCGGACGGGUGAGUAACGCGUGGGCAACCUGCCCCAUGCCGGGGGAUACCGCCUGGAAACAGGCGCUAAUACCGCAUAAGCGCAUACAGCUGCAUGGCAGUAUGCGGAAAGCUCCGGCGGCAUGGGAUGGGCCCGCGCCCGAUUAGCCAGUUGGCGGGGUAACGGCCCACCAAAGCGACGAUCGGUAGCCGGCCUGAGAGGGCGGACGGCCACAUUGGGACUGAGACACGGCCCAAACUCCUACGGGAGGCAGCAGUGGGGAAUAUUGCACAAUGGGGGAAACCCUGAUGCAGCAACGCCGCGUGGGUGAAGGAGCGUUUCGGCGCGUAAGGCCCUGUCAGCGGGGAAGAAGAAAGACGGUACCCGACCAAGAAGCCCCGGCUAACUACGUGCCAGCAGCCGCGGUAAUACGUAGGGGGCGAGCGUUAUCCGGAAUUACUGGGUGUAAAGGGAGCGUAGACGGCGAGGUAAGCCUGAAGUGGAAGCCCGCGGCCCAACCGCGGAACUGCUUUGGGAACUGUUUUGCUGGAGUAUGGGAGGGGUAAGCGGAAUUCCUGGUGUAGCGGUGAAAUGCGUAGAUAUCAGGAGGAACACCGGUGGCGAAGGCGGCUUACUGGACCAUAACUGACGUUGAGGCUCGAAAGCGUGGGGAGCGAACAGGAUUAGAUACCCUGGUAGUCCACGCCGUAAACGAUGAUUACUAGGUGUCGGGU
rnacentral:rRNA from 1 species